AUAGCGUAUAUUAAAGUUGUUGCGUUUAAAAAGCUCGUAGUUGGAUCUGCGGCCUAGGAUAGCGGUCCCCCAAUGGGUGGUCACUGCUUUUCCUGUCCUAAUAUCUCCGGUUUUCCCUUGCUGCUCUUCACUGAGUGGCUUGGGUGGCUGGAAAAUUUACUUUGAAAAAAUUAGAGUGCUUAAAGCAGGCGCAAGCCUGAAUAGUGGUGCAUGGAAUAAUGGAAUAGGACCUCGGUUCUAUUUUGUUGGUUUUCGGAGCUCGAGGUAAUGAUUAAGAGGGACAGACGGGGGCAUUAGUAUUGCGACGUUAGAGGUGAAAUUCUUGGAUCGUCGCAAGACUAACUACUG
rnacentral:rRNA from 1 species